UACGGGGGGGGUAAGCGUUGUUCGGAAUUACUGGACGUAAAGGGCUCGUAGGCGGCCAACUAAGUCGGACGUGAAAUCCCUCAGCUUAACUGGGGAACUGCGUCCGAUACUGGAUGGCUUGGAUUUGGGAGAGGGAUGCGGAAUUCCAGGUGUAGCGGUGAAAUGCGUAGAUAUCUGGAGGAACACCGGUGGCGAAGGCGGCAUCCUGGACCAAUAUUGACGCUGAGGAGCGAAAGCCAGGGGAGCAAACGGG
rnacentral:rRNA from 1 species